rnacentral:rRNA from 1 species
AUUGAACGCUGGCGGCAGGCCUAACACAUGCAAGUCGAACGAGUGGCGGACGGGUGAGUAAUGUCUGGGAAACUGCCCGAGGGAGGGGGAUAACUACUGGAAACGGUAGCUAAUACCGCAUACCAUCGGAUGUGCCCAGAGGGGAUUAGCUAGGAAGUGGGGUAAUGGCUCACCUAGGCGACGAUCCCUAUCUGGUCUGAGAGGGUGACCAGCCACACUGGAACUGAGACACGGUACAGACUCCGACGGGAGGCAGCAGUGGGGAAUAUUGCACAAUGGGCGAAAGCCUGAUGCAGCCAUGCCGCGUGAGUGAAGAAGGCCUUCGGGUUGUAAAGCACUUUCAGCGGGGAGGCGUUACCCGCAGAAGAAGCACCGGCUAACUCCGUGCCAGCAGGCGCGGUAAUUC